rnacentral:rRNA from 1 species
AGAGUUUGAUCAUGGCUCAGGAUGAACGCUGGCGGCGUGCCUAACACAUGCAAGUCGAACGAAGCACAUUGGAUUGAUUCUUCGGAAGAAAGAGAAUGUGACUGAGUGGCGGACGGGUGAGUAACGCGUGGGUAACCUGCCUCAUACAGGGGGAUAACAGUUAGAAAUGACUGCUAAUACCGCAUAAGACCACGGAGUCGCAUGACUCAGUGGGAAAAACUCCGGUGGUAUGAGAUGGACCCGCGUCUGAUUAGGUAGUUGGUGGGGUAACGGCCUACCAAGCCGACGAUCAGUAGCCGACCUGAGAGGGUGACCGGCCACAUUGGGACUGAGACACGGCCCAAACUCCUACGGGAGGCAGCAGUGGGGAAUAUUGCACAAUGGGGGAAACCCUGAUGCAGCGACGCCGCGUGAGCGAGGAAGUAUUUCGGUAUGUAAAGCUCUAUCAGCAGGGAAGAAAAUGACGGUACCUGACUAAGAAGCACCGGCUAAAUACGUGCCAGCAGCCGCGGUAAUACGUAUGGUGCAAGCGUUAUCCGGAUUUACUGGGUGUAAAGGGAGCGUAGACGGCUGUGUAAGUCUGGAGUGAAAGCCCAGGGCUCAACCCCGGGACUGCUUUGGAAACUAUGCAGCUAGAGUGUCGGAGAGGUAAGUGGAAUUCCCAGUGUAGCGGUGAAAUGCGUAGAUAUUGGGAGGAACACCAGUGGCGAAGGCGGCUUACUGGACGAUGACUGACGUUGAGGCUCGAAAGCGUGGGGAGCAAACAGGAUUAGAUACCCUGGUAGUCCACGCCGUAAACGAGACUACUAGGUGUCGGGGUCACAGCACAUUGGGCCGCAG